AGAGUUUGAUCAUGGCUCAGAUUGAACGCUGGCGGAAUGCUUUACACAUGCAAGUCGAACGGCAGCACGGACUUCGGUCUGGUGGCGAGUGGCGAACGGGUGAGUAAUAUAUCGGAACGUAUCCAAUAAUGGGGGAUAACUAAGCGAAAGCUUGGCUAAUACCGCAUACGCCCUGAGGGGGAAAGCUGGGGAUCUUCGGACCUAGCGUUGAUGGAGCGGCCGAUAUCUGAUUAGCUAGUUGGUGGGGUAAAGGCCCACCAAGGCGACGAUCAGUAGCUGGUCUGAGAGGACGACCAGCCACACUGGAACUGAGACACGGUCCAGACUCCUACGGGAGGCAGCAGUGGGGAAUUUUGGACAAUGGGCGCAAGCCUGAUCCAGCCAUUCCGCGUGAGUGAAGAAGGCCUUCGGGUUGUAAAGCUCUUUCGCAAGGGAAGAAACGUUACGGGCGAAUAACCCGUGAUAAUGACGGUACCUGAUAAGAG
rnacentral:rRNA from 1 species